CCGGGGAUGGACGUGCCGAGUUAAUGAGCGUAAAGCCAGAAUCUGUCAAGGCUUAUUUAUGCAACACAGAACUUAGAGAAGUUGUGGCCUUACUGCAGAAAUAAUGUAUGCAGUUUGUGAGGUGAAAUUCUGGACCAAUGGCUGCUGUUCACUGCAAAUGGGCAGAAAUGUUCAUUUUAAGCUCAGACUCUGCAACGUUAAAACUGAGCUGAAGAUGUGAGGAUCAAAGAAGAUAAUCCUGGCAGCCCUGAAACUCUGGACAAGUAGUAGUUACUGGUCCUGGCCUCCACAUUCUGCUUUGGACUUGGAGAUAUUUGGUUUUUGUGGCAAUCAAAAUCAAUCU